rnacentral:rRNA from 1 species
UACGGAAGGCAGCAGUGGGGAAUAUUGCACAAUGGGCGCAAGCCUGAUGCAGCCAUGCCGCGUGUAUGAAGAAGGCCUUCGGGUUGUAAAGUACUUUCAGUCGUGAGGAAGGUGUUAAGGUUAAUAACCUUAGCAAUUGACGUUAGCGACAGAAGAAGCACCGGCUAACUCCGUGCCAGCAGCCGCGGUAAUACGGAGGGUGCGAGCGUUAAUCGGAAUUACUGGGCGUAAAGGGCACGCAGGCGGUUAAUUAAGUUGGAUGUGAAAUCCCCGGGCUUAACCUGGGAAUGGCAUUCAAGACUGGUUAGCUAGAGUCUUGUAGAGGGGGUAGAAUUCCAUGUGUAGCGGUGAAAUGCGUAGAGAUGUGGAGGAAUACCGGUGGCGAAGGCGGCCCCUGGACAAAGACUGACGCUCAUGUGCGAAAGCGUGGGGAGCAAAACAGGGAUUAGAUACC